rnacentral:rRNA from 1 species
GACGAACGCUGGCGGCGUGCCUAAUACAUGCAAGUUGAGCGCUGAAGGUUGGUACUUGUACCGACUGGAUGAGCAGCGAACGGGUGAGUAACGCGUGGGGAAUCUGCCUUUGAGCGGGGGACAACAUUUGGAAACGAAUGCUAAUACCGCAUAAAAACUUUAAACACAAGUUUUAAGUUUGAAAGAUGCAAUUGCAUCACUCAAAGAUGAUCCCGCGUUGUAUUAGCUAGUUGGUGAGGUAAAGGCUCACCAAGGCGAUGAUACAUAGCCGACCUGAGAGGGUGAUCGGCCACAUUGGGACUGAGACACGGCCCAACCUCCUACGGGAGGCAGCAGUAGGGAAUCUUCGGCAAUGGACGAAAGUCUGACCGAGCAACGCCGCGUGAGUGAAGAAGGUUUUCGGAUCGUAAAACUCUGUUGGUAGAGAAGAACGUUGGUGAGAGUGGAAAGCUCAUCAAGUGACGGUAACUACCCAGAAAGGGACGGCUAACUACGUG